GACAGAGGCCUCAAGCGUUAGGCGGAAUCACUGGGCUUAAAGCGUGUGUAGGCGGAUCGUUAAGUGUCUUGUGAAAUCCCACGGCUCACCCGUGGAACGGCUGGGCAUACUGGCGAUCUUGGGCCAACUAGGGGCAACUGGAACAAGCGGUGGAGCGGUGAAAUGCGUAGAUAUCGGUAGGAACACCAGUGGCGAAGGCGGUUUCCUGGAGCUAACUUGACGCUGAGACGCGAAAGCUGGGGGAGCAAACGGG
rnacentral:rRNA from 1 species